GAUAGGGCCAAAUAGCCUAAAAGCACCAUAUCCUAUCUGAUAUUGGAAGCUAAGGAGGUUCAGCCCUGGUUACUAUUUGGAUGGGAGACCUUCAAUACAUUCCCUGCGGUGUAAGCU
rnacentral:rRNA from 1 species